CCUACGGGAGGCAGCAGUAAGGAAUAUUGGUCAAUGGACGCAAGUCUGAACCAGCCAUGCCGCGUGGAGGAUGAAGGUCCUCUGGAUUGUAAACUUCUUUUAUUUGGGAAGAAACCCACGAUUUCUAUUGUGGUUGACGGUACCAGAUGAAUAAGCACCGGCUAACUCCGUGCCAGCAGCCGCGGUAAUACGGAGGGUGCAAGCGUUAUCCGGAUUCACUGGGUUUAAAGGGUGCGUAGGCGGGCAGGUAAGUCAGUGGUGAAAUCUCCGAGCUUAACUUGGAAACUGCCGUUGAUACUAUCUGUCUUGAAUGCUGUGGAGGUAAGCGGAAUAUGUCAUGUAGCGGUGAAAUGCUUAGAUAUGACAUAGAACACCUAUUGCGAAGGCAGCUUGCUACACAGAAAUUGACGCUGAGGCACGAAAGCGUGGGGAUCAAACAGGAUUAGAUACCCUGGUAGUCCACGCCCUAAACGAUGGAUACUCGACAUCAGCGAUACACAGUUGGUGUCUGAGAGAAGANAUAAUAUCCACCGCGGAGUACGACCGACGAGUAGUAACGUACAAUAGAAGUUAGUACGGACGUUGAGACGAGCCGACGGACGACGACGACGGGGAGGGUAGGGAG
rnacentral:rRNA from 1 species